CCUACGGGUGGCAGCAGUGGGGAAUAUUGGGCAAUGGGCGCAAGCCUGACCCAGCAACGCCGCGUGAAGGAAGAAGGCUCUCGGGUUGUAAACUCCCUUUAAGGGGGAAGAGCAGAAGACGGUACCCCUUGAAUAAGCCACGGCUAACUACGUGCCAGUAGCCGCGGUAAUACGUAGGUGGCAAGCGUUGUCCGGAUUUACUGGGUGUAAAGGGCGUGCAGCCGGAGAGACAAGUCAAAGGUGAAAUCCACGGGCGCAACCCGUGAACUGCAUUUGAAACUGUUUCCCUUGAGUGUCGGAGAGGUAAUCGGAAUUCCUUGUGUAGCGGUGAAAUGCGUAGAUAUAAGGAAGAACACCAGUGGCGAAGGCGGAUUACUGGACGAUAACUGACGGUGAGGCGCGAAAGCGUGGGGAGCAAACAGGAUUAGAUACCCCUGUAGUC
rnacentral:rRNA from 1 species